rnacentral:rRNA from 1 species
ACUCCUACGGGAGGCAGCAGUGGGAAUAUUGCACAAUGGGCGAAAGCCUGAUGCAGCCAUGCCGCGUGUGUGAAGAAGGCCCUAGGGUUGUAAAGCACUUUCAGCAGGGAGGAAAGGUUGUUAGUUAAUACCUGACAACUGUGACGUUACCUGCAGAAGAAGCACCGGCAAACUCCGUGCCAGCAGCCGCGGUAAUACGGAGGGUGCGAGCGUUAAUCGGAAUUACUGGGCGUAAAGCGCGCGUAGGUGGUUUGUUAAGCCAGAUGUGAAAG